UGUCUGAUCGUUCCAGAUGUGAAUGAGUGCAACAGGAACCCCUGUCAGAACGGAGGCCACUGCGUCGACCUGCUCAACGACUUCUACUGCAACUGUGUAGACAACUGGAAAGGAAAGACUUGCCACUCGCGUGAGAGCCAGUGCGACUCCACCACCUGCAGCAACGGAGGGACGUGCUACGACCACGGGGACUCCUUCCUGUGCAGCUGCCCCUCGGGCUGGGGGGGCAGCACCUGCAACACAGCCAAGAACAGCACGUGUGACUCGGGCCCCUGCGAGAAUGGAGGGACGUGUGUCGGCGGAGGAGACGUCUUCACGUGCAUUUGCAAGGACGGCUGGAAAGGACCCACCUGUGCUCAGAAUGUCGACGACUGCAAUCCACAUCCCUGGUAAGAGUCAUUGCUAUGAUUCCACUGAAACCACGAGGGUGGAUGAUGUU